UAUAACUAAGGAGGAUUACAUUAGAGGGGUUUUAAGUUUUCUGAAUUUUGCUUUUGCUAACUCAUCCGAAAAUGGUAUGUUUCUUUGUAUGACUUGUAUGGGAACCAAGAAUCUUCCGAGGCUAAUUCAUGAGAUGACAACGAAGGCUAUAGGAGUGCAACCUUCUCGAGCUGAAAUUUAUAUUGAAACCCGAACUCGAAAAGACGGCAGCAUUGUGACUGAAAAGGCAGCUUCAACAAUUGUAAGAUAUAUUUAUUUAGAGUAAGGAACUGUGUAAAAUUUCAUGAAAGGUAUACUAUCUACUAACUUGCUUAAGUAUAGUUUCCUUGUAACUAAUAACUUGAACCUUACUUGGAUUAUAAGAAGAAAAUUCACUGUAAUUUUGGCCAAAUGAAUUUCCUCACUGUAAAUUCUCCAAGAAAGAAAGAGGUGGUAUGAUAUUCUUCAAGAAAGAUGUUGUGCAUGGAGUUGAUCUGGAGUUUGCCAUUAACAAUGCUAUUUUUCCUGGUCUACAGGGGGGGUUCUCGUAACCACACAAUUGGAGGACUAGCAGUUUGCUUGAAGUAUGCUUAAUCUCCAGAUUUUAAAAAUUACCAAAACCAGGUGGUUGCUAACUGUAGAGCUCUUACUAACUACUUGGUUGAGCAUGGAUAUAAACUGGUUUCUGGUGGUAGUGAUAAUCACCUGGUUCUUGUUGAUCUGAGGCCAUCAAUAAGCUUGUUGCUCUUUUCUUUGUCAAUAUAAUGAUAGUUCUGUCUUGGCUUCCCCUCCCCAAUCUUUUACUAGUCAAUUAUUAAUAGAUAUCUCUCUCAAAUGUAAGUCUGAUAUUAUGCUAUUGUGUAGUAUAUUGCCUUAAGAUUAUUAGUUUAGUUCCACAUUCAAGUUAUAAAAUUUAAAAGCAAGCAUUUGUUUUGAUUUCUGUGCAGGAAGUAUUUGGGCCGGUUUGGGAUACUAUCGGAGAGCUCGUUUUCUUUUAUA